AUGCAAUGAUACUACUUUUUAGU
rnacentral:snRNA from 1 species